rnacentral:rRNA from 1 species
UACGAAGGGUGCAAGCGUUAUCCGGAUUUACUGGGUUUAAAGGGUGCGUAGGUGGGUCUGUAAGUCAGUGGUGAAAUCUCCGAGCUUAACUCGGAAACUGCCAUUGAUACUAUAGAUCUUGAAUUAUCUGGAGGUGAGCGGAAUAUGUCAUGUAGCGGUGAAAUGCUUAGAUAUGACAUAGAACACCAAUUGCGAAGGCAGCUCACUACGGAUUGAUUGACACUGAGGCACGAAAGCGUGGGGAUCAAACAGG